GACGAACGCUGGCGGCGUGCUUAACACAUGCAAGUCGAACGGAAAGGCCCUGCUUUUGUGGGGUGCUCGAGUGGCGAACGGGUGAGUAACACGUGAGUAACCUGCCCUUGACUUUGGGAUAACUUCAGGAAACUGGGGCUAAUACCGGAUAGGAGCUCCUGCUGCAUGGUGGGGGUUGGAAAGUUUCGGCGGCUGGGGAUGGACUCGCGGCUUAUCAGCUUGUUGGUGGGGUAGUGGCUUACCAAGGCUUUGACGGGUAGCCGGCCUGAGAGGGUGACCGGCCACAUUGGGACUGAGAUACGGCCCAGACUCCUACGGGAGGCAGCAGUGGGGAAUAUUGCACAAUGGGCGGAAGCCUGAUGCAGCAACGCCGCGUGCGGGAUGACGGCCUUCGGGUUGUAAACCGCUUUCGCCUGUGACGAAGCGUGAGUGACGGUAAUGGGUAAAGAAGCACCGGCUAACUACGCG
rnacentral:rRNA from 1 species